GAUGAACGCUGGCGGCGUGCUUAACACAUGCAAGUCGAACGGAAAGGCCCAAGCUUGCUUGGGUUCUCGAUUGGCGAACGCGUGAGUAUCACGUGGGUGUUCUGCCCUGCACUUCGGGAUAAGCCUGGGAAACUGGGUCUAAUACCGGAUAGGAUAAUGGUUUGGAUGCCAUUCUGGAGAGUUUUUUCGGUGUGGGAUGAGCUUGGGGCCUAUCAGCUUUUUGUUGGGGUCGUGGCCUAGCAAGGCGUCGACGGGUAGCCGGCCUGAGUGAAUGGAGGGCCGGACUGGAACUGAGAGACAGCCCGGAGUCCGAAGGGAGGCAGCAGGGGGGAAAGUUGGACAAUGGGAGCAAGCCUGAGGGAGGAAGGCCGCGUGGGGGAUGACGGCUUUUGGGGGGUAAGAACCUUUGGCUAGGGACGAAGCGUUUUUGUGACGGUACCUGGAGAAGAAGCACCGGCUAACUACGUG
rnacentral:rRNA from 1 species